GCUAGGCGUAAACGUCUCCGAGUGAUCACUAUAACAAAUUCGCUGAUCACAAUCUCUUUGAUCGAAACCCUAAACCUUUGAUCGAUCGAACGGUGAAGAAUGAGCGAAGAGGGUGGAAAGAUGAACAGAGAAGCUCCGGCAAUGGUGGCAGCCACCGGCGAGCCAUUGCCGGCUAACUAUUACUACGGGACAUUUCAAGGAGUCGCCAAUUAUCAAACUCCUCCUUCGCAAUCUCAACCGGUCUUGGGUUUCCCUCAACCUAUACCUCCUCCAGGUGUCCCCGUUGUUCCUCCGUGUUACUAUCCUCAUGGUUAUCAGACCGUUCAAGGUUAUGUUGUUGCCGAAGGUAGACCCAUAAGGGAGCAUCGGCUUCCUUGCUGUGGUAUGGGAAUUGGCUGGUUCUUGUUCAUUAUUGGUUUCUUUCUUGGUGCCAUUCCCUGGUACAUUGGAGCUUUUCUUCUUUUGUGUGCUCGGCUCGAUUAUAGAGAAAAACCUGGAUUUAUUGCAUGCACCUUAGCAGCUACACUUGCUUUGGUUGCUGUGACUCUUGGUGCAACAAAGGUAAAUUAUUCCUGGCCAAAGUGUGAUCAGAAUUCCAAGCAUGUACCUAAUUUCAGAAAUUGAUUGCGACCCAUCGGAGAGGAGUUUUACAGUGAAUGAGUCUUCGGAUAGAGCACCAGUUUAAUUAAUCGAGGCCAUUUCUUGUUCAUCCCCGGCCCCUAUAGCAGCUUGGAAUGACCUUUAUGGUGUAAGUUGGAGGGGUAGUCUGCUGCAAGUGUAGCGUUGAGCGAGAUGCCAUACGAUCGAGCAUAGGUAGGAAUUCCUGACAGCAGGAAGAGAGAAAAUGGAGUUGGGUGAUGAACUAAGGCUUUCUAUCUCUCAAUCAAUUUGGACCAAACAAUGUAUUUGACAGGUUAGGACUCAUCCCACACUUGUUGUCUAAUGGAUAACCGCAAAGAAAAGGAUUUCCCUCGUAGCUGCUUUUGUUGAAAGUUCCAAAUUGAGCUUUAAAAUCAGGCACUGCACCCGAUAAGUUGUUGUAUGCAACACUGAAUACUGCCAACGAAUUUAGCUCAAGUAGACCAACAGGAAUGCUCCCAUUCAAUCUGUUGCAGGAAAGGUCUAAACUCUCGAUUUCCUGUAGAUUGGAGAAGGUAUUUGGUAUUCUUCCGAUGAGAUGGUUGUGCGAUAGAUUCAAUGCAUGUAUAUUGCUCAUGUUCCCUAACUCAACAGGAAUUUCACCAGUUAAUCUAUUACUUGAGAGAUCAA